rnacentral:rRNA from 1 species
UACGAGGGGUGCAAACGUUAUUCGGAAUAACUGGGCGUAAAGGGUGCGUAGACGGUAUAUUAAGUUCGUUGUUAAAUCUUCCGGCCUAACUGGAAGCUCGCGAUGGAAACUGAUAUGCUUGAGGAUGGAAGAGAGAAGCGGAAUUCUCGGAGUAGCGGUAAAAUGCGUAGAUCUCGAGAGGAACACCGAUGGCGAAGGCAGCUUCUUGGUCCACUCCUGACGUUGAGGCACGAAAGCAUGGGUAGCAAACAGG